rnacentral:rRNA from 1 species
CAGUCGCCGCGGUAAUACGUAGGUGGCAAGCGUUGUCCGGAAUUAUUGGGCGUAAAGCGCGCGCAGGUGGUUUAAUAAGUCUGAUGUGAAAGCCCACGGCUCAACCGAGGAGGGUCAUUGGAAACUGUUAAACUUGAGUGCAGGAGAGAAAAGUGGAAUUCCUAGUGUAGCAGUGAAAUGCGUAGAGAUUAGGAGGAACACCAGUGGCGAAGGCGGCUUUUUGGCCUGUAACUGACACUGAGGCGCGAAAGCGUGGGGAGCAAACAGGAUUAGAUACCCCCGUAGUCCCUGUCUCUUAUAC